UACGUAGGGACCAAGCGUUGUUCGGAUUUACUGGGCGUAAAGGGCGCGUAGGCGGCGUGGUAAGUCACUUGUGAAAUCUCCGAGCUUAACUCGGAACGGUCAACUGAUACUGCGGGGCUAGAGUGCGGAAGGGGCAACUGGAAUUCUCGGUGUAGCGGUGAAAUGCGUAGAUAUCGAGAGGAACACCUGCGGCGAAGGCGGGUUGCUGGGCCGACACUGACGCUGAUGCGCGAAAGCCAGGGGAGCGAACGGG
rnacentral:rRNA from 1 species